UACGUAGGGCGCAAGCGUUGUCCGGAAUUAUUGGUCGUAAAGAGCUCGUAGGCGGUUUGUCGCGUCUGCUGUGAAAACCUAAGGCUCAACCUUGGGCUUGCAGUGGGUACGGGCAGACUAGAGUGCGGUAGGGGUGACUGGAAUUCCUGGUGUAGCGGUGGAAUGCGCAGAUAUCAGGAGGAACACCGAUGGCGAAGGCAGGUCACUGGGCCGCAACUGACGCUGAGGAGCGAAAGCAUGGGGAGCGAACAGG
rnacentral:rRNA from 1 species